UGAGGCAGGAGAAUUGCUUGAACCCAGGAGGUGGAGGUUGCAGUGAGCCGAGAUCAAGCCACUACACUUCAGCCUGGGUGACACAGCGAGACUCCGUCUC
ensembl:miRNA